rnacentral:tRNA from 1 species
AUUCAAAUAGUUUAAUAAAAAUUUUAGUUUGUGGAUCUAAAGAUGUAAAUUUACUUUGAAUA